UGGGGAAUAUUGCACAAUGGGCGCAAGCCUGAUGCAGCCAUGCCGCGUGUAUGAAGAAGGCCUUCGGGUUGUAAAGUACUUUCAGCGGGGAGGAAGGGAGUAAAGUUAAUACCUUUGCUCAUUGACGUUACCCGCAGAAGAAGCACCGGCUAACUCCGUGCCAGCAGCCGCGGUAAUACGGAGGGUGCAAGCGUUGUCCGGAUUUAUUGGGCGUAAAGCGAGCGCAGGCGGUUUCUUAAGUCUGAUGUGAAAGCCCCCGGCUCAACCGGGGAGGGUCAUUGGAAACUGGGAGACUUGAGUGCAGAAGAGGAGAGUGGAAUUCCAUGUGUAGCGGUGAAAUGCGUAGAUAUAUGGAGGAACACCAGUGGCGAAGGCGGCUCUCUGGUCUGUAACUGACGCUGAGGCUCGAAAGCGAGGGGAGCAAACAGG
rnacentral:rRNA from 1 species